UGGGGAUAUUGGACAAUGGGCGCAAGCCUGAUCCAGCCAUGCCGCGUGAGUGAUGAAGGCCUUAGGGUUGUAAAGCUCUUUCGCCGACGAAGAUAAUGACGGUAGUCGGAGAAGAAGCCCCGGCUAACUUCGUGCCAGCAGCCGCGGUAAUACGAAGGGGGCUAGCGUUGUUCGGAAUCACUGGGCGUAAAGCGCACGUAGGCGGAUUGUUAAGUCAGGGGUGAAAGCCUGGAGCUCAACUCCAGAACUGCCCUUGAUACUGGCAAUCUCGAGUCCGGAAGAGGUAAGUGGAACUGCGAGUGUAGAGGUGAAAAUUCGUAGAUAUUCGCAAGAACACCAGUGGCGAAGGCGGCUUACUGGUCCGGUACUGACGCUGAGGUGCGAAAGCGUGGGGACAAAACAGGAUUAGAUACCCUGGUAGUCCACGCCGUAAAACGAUGGAGGCUAGCCGUUGGCGAGCAUGCUCGUCAGUGGCGCAGCUAACGCAUUAAGCCUCCCGCCUGGGGAGUACGGUCGCAAGAUUAAAAACUCAAAGGAAUUGACGGGGGUCAUAGCUGUUUUCCCU
rnacentral:rRNA from 1 species